UACGUAGGGUGCAAGCGUUAAUCGGAAUACUGGGCGUAAAGCGUGCGCAGGCGGUGAUGUAAGACAGUUGUGAAAUCCCCGGGCUUAACCUGGGAACUGCAUUUGUGACUGCAUCGCUGGAGUGCGGCAGAGGGGGAUGGAAUUCCGCGUGUAGCAGUGAAAUGCGUAGAUAUGCGGAGGAACACCGAUGGCGAAGGCAAUCCCCCUGGGCCUGCACUGACGCUCAUGCACGAAAGCGUGGGGAGCAAACAGG
rnacentral:rRNA from 1 species